rnacentral:rRNA from 1 species
AUUGAACGCUGGCGGCAGGCCUAACACAUGCAAGUCGAACGGGUAGCGGACGGGUGAGUAAUGUCUGGGAAACUGCCUGACGGAGGGGGCUAACUACUGGAACCGGUAGCUAAUACCGCAAACCAUCAGAUGUGCUCAGAGUGGAUUAGCUAGUUGGUGGGGUAACGGCUCACCAAGGCGACGCUCCCUAGCUGGUCUGAGAGGGUGACCAGCCACACUGGAACUGAGACACGGUCCAGACUCCUACGGGAGGAAGCAGUGGGGAAGAUUGGACAAUGGGCGCAAGCCUGAUGCAGCCAUGCCGCGUGUAUGAAGAAGGCCUUCGGGUUGUAAAGUACUUUCAGCGGGGAGGCGUUACCCGCAGAAGAAGCACCGGCUAACUCCGUGCCAGCAGCCGCGGUAAUUC